AACGAACGCUGGCGGCAUGCCUAACACAUGCAAGUCGAACGAGACCUUCGGGUCUAGUGGCGCACGGGUGCGUAACGCGUGGGAACCUGCCCUUAGGUUCGGAAUAACUCCCCGAAAGGGGUGCUAAUACCGGAUAAUGUCUUCGGACCAAAGAUUUAUCGCCUUUGGAUGGGCCCGCGUUGGAUUAGCUAGUUGGUAGGGUAAAAGCCUACCAAGGCGACGAUCCAUAGCUGGUCUGAGAGGAUGAUCAGCCACACUGGGACUGAGACACGGCCCAGACUCCUACGGGAGGCAGCAGUGGGGAAUAUUGGACAAUGGGCGAAAGCCUGAUUCAGCAAUGCCGCGUGAGUGAUGAAGGCCUUAGGGUUGUAAAGCUCUUUUACCCGGGAUGAUAAUGACAGUACCGGGAGAAUAAACUCCGGCUAACUCCGU
rnacentral:rRNA from 1 species